GAUGAACGCUGGCGGCGUGCCUAAUACAUGCAAGUCGAGCGAACAGAUGAGGAGCUUGCUCCUCUGACGUUAGCGGCGGACGGGUGAGUAACACGUGGAUAACCUACCUAUAAGACUGGGAUAACUUCGGGAAACCGGAGCUAAUACCGGAUAAUAUAUUGAACCGCAUGGUUCAAUAGUGAAAGACGGUUUUGCUGUCACUUAUAGAUGGAUCCGCGCCGCAUUAGCUAGUUGGUAAGGUAACGGCUUACCAAGGCAACGAUGCGUAGCCGACCUGAGAGGGUGAUCGGCCACACUGGAUCUGAGACACGGUCCAGACUCCUACGGGAGGCAGCAGUAGGGAAUCUUCCGCAAUGGGCGAAAGCCUGACGGAGCAACGCCGCGUGAGUGAUGAAGGUCUUCGGAUCGUAAAACUCUGUUAUUAGGGAAGAACAAAUGUGUAAGUAACUAUGCACGUCUUGACGGUACCUAAUCAGAAAGCCACGGCUAACUACGUG
rnacentral:rRNA from 1 species